UGCCAGACUCCUACGGGAGGCAGCAGUGGGGAAUAUUGCGCAAUGGGGGCAACCCUGACGCAGCAACGCCGCGUGAUUGAAGAAGGCCUUCGGGUUGUAAAGAUCUUUAAUCAGGGACGAAAAAUGACGGUACCUGAAGAAUAAGCUCCGGCUAACUACGUGCCAGCAGCCGCGGUAAUACGUAGGGAGCAAGCGUUAUCCGGAUUUACUGGGUGUAAAGGGCGUGUAGGCGGGCUUGUAAGUCAGAAGUGAAAUCUGGGGGCUUAACCCGUGAACUGCUUUUGAAACUGUAGGGCUUGAGUGAAGGAGAGGCAGGCGGAAUUCCCGGUGUAGCGGUGAAAUGCGUAGAGAUCGGGAGGAACACCAGUGGCGAAGGCGGCCUGCUGGGCUUUAACUGACGCUGAAGCACGAAAGCGUGGGUAGCAAACAGGAUUAGAUACCCGUGUA
rnacentral:rRNA from 1 species